UCCUUAAGUGCGAGCGAAGCUGGAGCCGAGGAGCGGCUGAUGCCCCGCUGCGUCCCACAGUGCUUCGCGGCGAGCUGGGCCCCGCUGUUUCCCAGAACACCCCGCGGCUCCCUCGCCCCGCGCGGUCAGCAUCUUGGUUUCAGUCUCACUGCGAAAGGAGGCGGCGUUUCUUCGCCAGAGCUGUUUCCCCCCAGCUCAUCCACAGUGCGGGGAACGCAGGCUCAGCCGUGCCAAAUGGCCGCGUAGUUUAGGCUGCCAGUUUCAGGGAUGGCUGCCAGGGUUCAAACCGUAAUUCCACAGUUCUUAAACUUAAUUGGGCCGAGGAAGUUUUCUGGAUCGCUAAUUUAAAAGUGCAGAUUCCGGAUCUGACUUCCGCAAAUUGACAGUCAAGUUGGGUGCAUCUGAGCUGGUAAUCCACGGGUAUGCAUUUCAGUUAGCAGUUGUGAUUCUGAGAUGGUGACAUCCCACUCUAGGGUGCCCUUCUGGAGUCUCGUUAAAGAAAGACUCAAAAGAAGGGAUUUUACUGAAAGCCCGGAUCGUUUCUAAUUGAACCCCAAGCCUUUCUCUUUUGGGGAAAUGAAUAUAUAUAUAUCUCAUGACUUUGAAUUUGCCAGGCAGGCACUUGGAAAAUAUAUCUUACUAGAUCUGGUGUUCAAGUCCUGCCACGUCCUAGCUCUGGCAAUUGCAUCUUUAGGCUUUAGUUUCCUUCCCUGUAAAUUGGAGAUAAUAAAGGAUAAAAUAAAUAUAUGUGAAAGUAAUUUCCACUUUCUGUUAAUUCUUUACCAGCUGGGUGAACUUGUACAGGUUAUUUGAUUUCCCUAAACCACUGUAUUCAUAUUUAACAUAAGACUGUUGAUAGCAUAGCAACUGUCACUUAUUUCCAUUAAUGUUGUCUCAGCUGCCUUCCGAUUUUCCUAAUUUUUGUUUGCUUUCUUAAUUUUGUCUGGUACCCGAUGAAUCAUGCUCAGUGCCAAGCCUGUUCACUGGGGCUUUCUGUUUGUUGUUCCGCUGUAAAGUCUUUAUUCCACUUUCAAGAUGCACUUCGAAUGCUGCCAUUUCUUACCACCGUCUCCUUUCGGUUUGGAUCCACUCUUGCUCCUCUCAGACUCCUUCUCUCCUCGGUGGGCAAAGCGAUCUGUUCGCCAUCCUGUCUCUAACAGCUUCCCAUUGGUGUGCUUGGGGUGAGAUAGGAAGGGCUUCCCGCCUCCUUUGGUCCCUACUCUUCGGCUUCACAUCUUGCCAUCCUGCUCCCCCUGCUCUGGUCACCUCGGUCGGUCUCCUUUUUGCACAUUAAAACACCUCAUUCUCGCAGUGGGGGCUUUGUCCUUGCUGUUCUUUCCCCCAGGUUUACCCAUGGCUGGCUUGGUCCUGUUUCUAUGUCUCUGUUCAUAAGUUAGCUCCUGGGCUGCUAUGUGGCGCAGUGGGAGAACGCUUGUUUGGAAUUGUGAGGUGUUGGGUUCAACCCCAGGACUCCCCCAACAAAAAUGUUGACACUGUUCCUAAAAUAACAAUUUUUCCUUCCACCCCUUAGCCCCUCACUCAGCUUUUCAGCUUUGUUUUCUUUAGAGUUCUCAUGCUCUCUGAAACAUUGUUUCAUCAUUUAGCCCCCAGCUCUCCCUUUGAAGUGGAAGCUUAGCUGCAGGGCUCUGUCUUUCUUACCUAGAACAGUAUCUGGUAAUGCAUAUUUGUUAAAUUGUGUGAUGGACAGAAAAGUGUCAUGAGAUAUAAUGGGAAUAUGAAUUUAGCGUGUUACCCUGGACACAUAAGUACAUAAUCAAUGUUAGUAUAAUUGAGAUCCUUGGUAAACUAAUGUGCUCUAAAGUAUAGAGGCAGGCUUCGAUUAUAACUCAGUGGCAUAAGUGCCUGCCUGGCAAGUGCAAGGUCCUGAGUUUGAUUCCAGGCACCAAAAAAAAAAAAAAAAAAAAAAAAAAAAAAAAAAAAAAAAAUUUGUAUCUAUGGGGAGAUGUACUUCUGCCGAAUGCUUGGAUGCUAUCUUAUUUUUCAUCCUUUGUUCUUUUUCUUUUGCAGGGCCGUCGCUGCAGCCUGUCUCUUGUGUCAGAGUUUAAUCCUCAUUCCUGUAUCGUAGCGGCCGUCCUACCCACUCUCAGCCAGCUGGAGCAGGAUUUAGAGUGUCCUAUCUCCUUCUCAGUAGUGGGUCCCUGGGCUUGGGUGGCAGAUCUUGCCUGUUCCCUGUGAUACUCCUGUGCCUGUCUGUUGUCCAUCUGACUCCAUGCUCAGACAGCUGGUUGACCCUGCUUUUGCAUCAAAUCAGAGCAUGACCCCCUCCCCAUAUCCACUUGAAAAUCCCUGAGUAGCUCCCUUUUGUCCCUGCCCAGAAGAUAAAGACCUGUGCUCCUCCCUGGCCUGCAAGGCCCUCAGGGACAGCCCUGCCUUUCUGCUUCCUCUUUCUGGGUCACACCUCCCCUCCAGACCUCUGCCUCAAGAUGCUCACCUCUCACCCGCUGUCUUCUGGUGCCUGGUGUCCACAUCAGCUGGAUCUUCAUGAGCCUGUGUCCUCACGGGCCAGGCAUUUCCCUGCCACUCUGUCUGGCCUCACCAAGGCCUCAUUUGCUCUCUCACUGGCUUAUACAGAGCCGUGUGGCCAGCGUGGUGCUAUUUUAGGAGCCUAAGUCCAAUUCUUAGCACAGCCCUGGGAGAUGGCCCCAUCAUGUGCAUGUACAGGUGAAGUUACAGAGGCACGGGGAGAUACUCCCAUAUGCUGGAGCUCUGGGCUCAAAGGGCAGCUGGAUUCGACUCGUCUCCAUGUCCUGUUAGUGUUUUAUGUGGUCUGUUUCUUUCCUCAGGAGGUUUGAGACUUUAUGUGUCCUCUCUCGUCCUCCCAGCACCUAGUCAGGUACUUUCCACUAGUUGACCCUCAGAAAAGCUUUGUGGGAUGCCUGAGUCCCCCUGAGCACAGCCCCUCUUCUGUGUGUCCCUAGUGCCGGGAGAGUCCUCUGGGACUGUGCUUUGCCUCCCGCUGGGCCAUGCUGCCAGUGUUCCCACCUCCUGGCCCCAGACCUGCUGGUUUCCUGCCUGCUCAGCACAGUGCCUGGCAUGAAGAGCUUGCCCACAGAAGGCUUCUUGCACCCAGUGCCUUCUGGAGCUUGCUUUCAGAGAUACGGAAUCAAAAGUUAACGUUCUUGCUGGGAAAAUGUGAGGUCGGAGGCAGAACCUUUGCUCUAAAGGACCUUUUGCAGCGUCUUUCCAGUUAGGACAUUCAUGAACCCGUCUUUGGGCAGCUGAAUGACGAACGGCAGCCCACCAGUGUGACAAGGCUCUGAAUUUCAUUUUUGAGGUUCACGAUUGUAAUUUAAUUGCAGUUUUACAGAUGGUCAGACAGGCGAGUUAAUGAGCCUGAGGCCACACAACUCUUGGACAACAUUUACUCAGUCAACAUGUAAUCCUGGCGCUCCUUCUGGGCAUCUGGCAUAGAGAGGGCGAGGUGUGGAGAGUGCGGCAGGGAGGAGGAUGGGUGUGGGCCUCCAUCUCUGGGAGGCGCUGGCCUUUUGGGGGGCUGGGGUAGACGUGGGAAAGGGAUUGUGUGACAGUUGGGUGAAGAGGCCACCAUGGGCUGUGUGUUAGAAGCGAUUCCUAGCACUCGUAGCCUGGGAGCGCAGGGAGGUCUCUGAGGCUGCCCUUAAGCUUCCAGCCGCUCUGCCUGUCCUUCACUCCUGAAAGACGCCUCCUCGUCACCUGGCUGCCUGGCCGCCAUCGCCACUGCUUGGAAGGGCUCAGUGUUGGAGAGCUCGCACCCCUGCUAUGAACACACCCAGUCCCUUUGUGCCUCGGUGUCCCCAAGGCCCUAUGUGGUCCUCGUUUUCCUAGGCCGUCCACAUUGUCAGAGUUCUAACAAAAUGACGAUGCGGGAAUCCCUCCGCUCUCUCCUGGGCCUGGGAUCGCAGCCCCUGUGUCCCUCCUGGGCGCCCACCCUCCCUGUGAGGCUCCUCAUGUCCUGUAUGACUCCCCGUCCUGAGCACAGGCUUUCUCUCCUCUGUCUUCUGCCCCAGGGUCACCCUGUCCUUUCCCAGCUGACCUCGGCCAGGUGAUGGGCUGCCUCUGACCUGUGGGCUUGGGCAUCUGCUUGGGGCUGCCGGGCUGCAUUCUCUCAGGGCUUGAUUUUGACCUUCCUUCUCCUCCAGGGACUUGGACGAAUUGCUGUCUCUGUUGGGAGGGGACCUUUGUGUGCCUGAUUUUCCACUGCUGGUCAUAUGUUACGACCUAGGGGACAGCUUUGCUCCUCCCCUGCCCUGGCCUCCCGGUGCUUCUGCCCGACACUGUGGCAAUAGUGAUUGGCUGAUUCCUGUGCACUUAUUUGGUUCUUGUGCGUCUGCUGUAGAUUGGAUCUGACAGGGCCCACAAGGGCUCAUGUGCUGAAGCCUUUGUUGCUAUAGGAAGGAGGUGGAUCCUGGGGGAAGAAGUCAGGUCGUUGGGGCCUGGCCCUUUGCUAUCUCUUUCUUUUUGGUCCCUGGCCUUCUCUGCCGUGGUUCCUGCCCCAAGUAACCAUGCACUGAAACCUCUAAAACCAUGGCUCCAAAUAAACCUUUCUCCCUUUUAAACUGUUUAACCUUAGAUGUUUGUUACAGCAAGGGAAAACUAAUACAAUGUGUCUUAUAUCACACAGGGUACCCCUAAGAUGGGAUGGGAACAGCUCGGUGUUCCCAGUUGCUACAACACCUGACACAGAGUCACCUCUGUCGGUGAGAGGCGCCAUCCUUGCUGUUUCUGAUCAAUCUUUUGUGCUGUACCGUUCUGUCCUGAGAAGACCUUUGCCCAGACAUAGGUGUGGGUGAGGACCUUUUGAGCAGAACCCUGUCACAUGACGAAGAACAUCAAGAGUCAACAAAAGGGAUCACAUCAAAUUAAAAAAUUUCUGCACAGCAAAACAAAACAAAACAAACAAGCCAGAGUGAAGAGACAACCUAUAGAUGGGAAAUUUUUUUUUUUUUUGCCAGCAGUAGAAGGCAAAUACCUAGAAUAUCCAAAGAACCAAGAAAACAAAAUUAGACCUCCCCAAAUGAAAGACCCAGUCAAAACUGGGCAAUUGAAAUGAAUAGGUGCUCAGAAGAAGAAAUGCAAAUGGCCAGCAGGUGUCUAAAAAAUGUUCAUCAUCUUUGGUCAUCAGAGAAAUACAAAUCCAAGCAACGCAGGUGCCAUCUUACCCCAGAAAGAAUGGCCAGGGUCAAGAAAUCAAAUACUAACAAAUGCCGGGGAAGCUAUGGAGAAAGGGGACUCUGCUGCAUCAUGGGUGGGAAUGUAAACUAGUCCUAGAGAUGAGUGUGGAGAUUCCUCGAAAAACUAAACCUAGAAAUUCCUUUUGACCUAGCUCUACUCAUUGUAGGUAUCUUCCUGAAAGAGUUAAAAGACAUCAUAUUACAGUGAUACGUGUAUAUCCAUGUUUAUAGCAGCACAAUCCAAAACAGCUAAAUCUUUGAAGUAGCCUAUACACCCAUCAACAGAUGAGUGAAUAAAGAAACUAUUGAUAUGCAAUGGAAUACUAGUCUGCCAUAAAGAAGGAUAAUUUUGAGUCGUCUCUGUGGAAAUGGAUGCAUCUUGAGACCAUACUGUUAAGUGGAAUAAAUCAGACCCACAAGCCUAAAUAUCGUAGUUUCUCUUACAUGAGAAAUGUAAAUAAGUUAAAGUGCAAAACAAAAGAUAAUAGGAAAUAGGGAGAUGGAUUCUUUGUAAAUGGGAAGGGAAUCGAGAGAUGGAGGAGGAGAGGAGGAAAGGAGAAGUUAAACAUUAAAAUGUGCAUUUUGCAUGUACCAAGGCCUCCAUGCAUGUAAUAAGUCUGUACAGCAAAUGUCCUAAUACAAAUUCAAAAAUAGCACCUAACACACAGCAGUGCCAUCUCUGUGCCUGUCCUCUGUGGGUCUGAAAUUGCUGGGUGGAUUCUGCCCAGGGUUCUUGUGCUGCUGAGGUUAGGCAUAGUGGGGCCAGAGCUGCCGGUGGCUGCUAGGCAUUUCCUUCUUUCUGUGUCCACCUUGUCUUGGAGUGGACAGAAUGUGGUGAGUCCUCACAGGGCGUCUGGGCUUCCUCCCAAUAUGGCGGUCUAGGGGCCAGCAUCAGACUGGCUUCAGAGCUGGGAGCUGCAGCGCCACCUAGGGUCUGGAGUGAGAAGGCACACGGCAUCAUCCCAUCCCUGUAAGUGGUUGACUUCCCGUGAGUUAGUAAGUCUGCCCGUUGUCCCCGAGAAGGGACAGAGUCACAGAGUCUUGCUGGGCCAGGCACCUGACUACAGGAGCGUGGUGGGUGGGAGCAGCGCUGUGGCCAUCAUAGGGAUGGACCAUCUGGCCUUUUUGGAGUCACCAGUUUAGUCAUCUGCAAACAUGUGACUGAAGAACUUGGGACCCAUCACAUGCUAGGAGUUUCCAAAGGAGCCAGGCCACAGGGGAACCUGGAAUGUGAUCCUGGCUUAUUAAGGGGAACCCAGUCAGUUCCCUGGUACCCUCUUUGGGGAAUCAGUGUGGGAGGAGGCCUCCGAGGAGGGAAUAGGAAGGGGACAGUCACAGAGCUGUGGCUGGCGUGCCCAGUGGUGGGCUUACCUGGCUCCUGCAUUGUCCUUGUUUCUUGGACAAAGCUGCCACCUCGAGAGAGAGGGCCACACACUGCUCUGGUGAUAACGGCUUCCUUGACUAAAGCCAUCGCUUGGCCUGAUUUCCCUUUUCUGCAGCAGCCCUGGAAGACCGUGGAACCUCACGAAGCACGGCCUGUCAGGGGGACAAAAGUCCCCACUUCAGCUGGCAGUUUAUUUCUUGUGCUUUCCAUUCCUGAUGGAUGCUCCCUGUGUGCGUCAGACUUGAAAGCCUGGUUAAAGGGAGCCUGCUCCUGCCUGGUGUGCAGGCAGACCCUGUGCAUCCCGCAGAGAGCUCUCCAAGGGCGUGGUUGGUCUGGUAGACCUGUUUCCAGUGGAACAUCAAGCCUCUCUGCUGGGCUUCUGAGGACCACCUUUUAUAGAUGAGGCGGACGGCUGAAGGUCAGUCAGCUGGUCACCCUGAGUGGAAAGCCAGGUGUGCUUGCAAACCUCAUUUCCAAUUCUAAAGUCCCCAAGGCUCUGAACACCAAAAUGGAGCGAGCAUUUCCUGGUAAACCUGAUGUGAAUUGGAUGCGAGGUAAUUUAGAGUUUUUAUUUUAUCCCAUUUAGGAUGACUAUUUAUACAUUUUGCUGCAGAAAAAUUCAAGAGUUUCUGGGCACGGUAGUACACAUCUGUCAUUCUAGCUUACUCAGGAGGCAGAGGCAGGAAGAUCACGAGUUUGAGGCUGGCCAGAAAACUUGGCAAGAUCCUGCCUUAAAAACAAAAAACAAAACAAAGCAAAACAAAAUAAAGCAAGUCAAGAGUUUAUGGACCUCAGCGCCAGAGACCCUGGACUAUGCCUAAUAUGUGUUAGUUCCACUGUAAAACUUUCUUAAAACCCAAAGAAUUUUAAGUUAUAACCCAUGUUACACUUUUCUCUCUCAGUGAAGGAGAGGUCACUAUGCCCAUUUUAGAGAUGAGGAAGACUGAGGGUUGGGGACACACUGCCCCAGGCAGACUCCUUGUGGGACUGUAACAUUUUAAUACCCUGUUGCAUGUUCCUGGGCAAAGUAUGCUUUUGAGUCACUAGCCCACC